CCUACGGGAGGCUGCAGUCGAGAAUCAUUCACAAUGGGGGAAACCCUGAUGGUGCGACGCCGCGUGGGGGAAUGAAGGUCUUCGGAUUGUAAACCCCUGUCAUGUGGGAGCAAAUUAAAAAGAUAGUACCACAAGAGGAAGAGACGGCUAACUCUGUGCCAGCAGCCGCGGUAAGACAGAGGUCUCAAGCGUUGUUCGGAAUCACUGGGCGUAAAGCGUGCGUAGGCUGUUUCGUAAGUCGUGUGUGAAAGGCGCGGGCUCAACCCGCGGACGGCACAUGAUACUGCGAGACUAGAGUAAUGGAGGGGGAACCGGAAUUCUCGGUGUAGCAGUGAAAUGCGUAGAUAUCGAGAGGAACACUCGUGGCGAAGGCGGGUUCCUGGACAUUAACUGACGCUGAGGCACGAAGGCCAGGGGAGCGAAAGGGAUUAGAUACCCUAGUAGUC
rnacentral:rRNA from 1 species